rnacentral:misc_RNA from 1 species
GAUGAAGAACGCAGCGAAAUGCGAUAAGUAAUGUGAAUUGCAGAAUCCAGUGAAUCAUCGAAUCUUUGAACGCACAUUGCGCCCGCCAGCAUUCUGGCGGGCAUGCCUGUUCGAGCGUCAUUUCAACCCUCGACCUCCCUUUGGGGAAGUCGGCGUUGGGGACCGGCAGCACACCGCCGGCCCUGAAAUGGAGUGGCGGCCCGUCCGCGGCGACCUCUGCGUAGUAAUCCAACUCGCACCGGAACCCCGACGCGGCCACGCCGUAAAACACCCAACUUCUGAACGUUGACCUCGAAUCAGGUAGGACUACCCGCUGAACUUAAGCAUAUCAAAAGCGGAGGA